UGGGUUCAAUAUGGGUUGAUGGUAUAACUUCUGUAUCGUUUUUUGUGCGUUAACAAAAAAUCGUGUUGGUUACCCAGCUCUGAAAUUAAACUUUAGAGCUCAGAUGAACAAACAAAACCAAGUCUCGUAUGAGCGCGUGUCCGUGACCCCAUUCGCCCUCCACCUCUGAGUUCACUUCUCUUCGCCUGGCUGUAUCGCUCCCCCAGAUCUCUCCUAUAUUUUCCACCCAGAGCCCCACCUAACCUGAUCCCUGCACGCCUUAAUUACUCCCGCAGGAAGACUGACUGCGUGGAAAGUGGCUGCCGCCGCAGUCAGCAGUCUCACGCGCGGCCGUCUCACACAAGCACACCUGUCCUCCCUUCGCUCGGCUUCACCUGGAGUCGCGACUCGUCUCACCCGACGUCUCAUCGGCGCUUCUCAGUUUGCUUUUUAGUUUUUUUUUCUAUUUUGACCAACUGCGUUCUCGGUUCGUGGUUCCGAGACUCCAUCGCGACAACACACAGCGCAGAUGUGAGAUGGGCUGUGGAAAUUCCUUGCCGACCAAACCCAGUCAAGGCCAAGUGGAAGAGACGAGAGAAGCUGCGAACAGGCAAGAGGAGCCCGUGGCGGAGGAGGAAGAUGAGAGGAAGAUCAACUACGGCGGGGUCUAUGUCGGGAUUCCUACAGACCCUAACGCGAUUAUGCCUGUUGAGAUCGGCUCGGUAGCCCGAGAAUCAAAGUGACCUCCUGAUGUUCCCACAUUGGCCAACGUCGGCGCUAAAACCACAAGAAUACACAGAGAAAAUAAGAGAUGAUCCACCUUAUUCAGACGGCUCACAUCCCAUUCAUAUCCCCAACAGGAUGUCAAACUUUCUCCCCGUGUGUUGUGACAUGCCUACUGCAGUGCUGAUUUGAUAAAUACAUGGAUUAUUUGCAACUUAAAACUUUAUUGUGCAAAUGUCAUGCCAAACACGACCAAACAUAAUAAUAUAAUCACACUGCAGGGAAACGCCCAAAGGGACUUUGGUUCCUACUUUUAUUUCUGAGGAAGUAUAAUAAGUUGAUUCUGGUUAAUCGUGUUUGUCGUUUGGGAUAAAAGAGACUUCCUUCUCUAAAAUGUCAACUGAAACUUCUAGAAAGUGUAUAUUCUAGAACAAUCUGGCUGUAAUGCAAUGAAAUGAAACCUGUGUCUUAAAGAGGACAUAUUAUACCACCAGGUGUGAGUGUGAGUAGCCCUGACAAGCUCUUUCGAAAAUCUGCCCCUUAUAACAUCACAAGUGGGCGUGUCCACCUAGAUGUGUGCUGGAUAGAUCGCCUACUCAGUGGACUGAAGCAAACGUUGCUCAUCUAUCCAGGCCAGAUCUAGAGGUACACGGCCACUAGUGAUGUCAUAUGGGGCAUAUUUUCCAAACGGUUUGUAAGGGCUAAUCACACUCACACCUGGUGGUAUAAUAUGUCCCCUUCAAUACAAAGAGAAGCUGUGUUAUUUAACGUUUAAAAAUGAUGUAAAUCCUUAAUCAUGUGUACAUUAAAGCGACGCAUUGGAAACCAA